rnacentral:rRNA from 1 species
GGCCGCCUACGGGACGCAGCAGUGGGGAAUAUUGGGCAAUGGGCGCAAGCCUGACCCAGCAACGCCGCGUGAAGGAAGAAGGCCCUCGGGUUGUAAACUUCUUUUAUUCGGGACGAAACAAAUGACGGUACCGAAUGAAUAAGCCACGGCUAACUACGUGCCAGCAGCCGCGGUAAUACGUAGGAGGCAAGCGUUAUCCGGAUUUGCUGGGUGUAAAGGGCGUGUAGGCGGGAGAGCAAGUCAGACGUGAAAUUCCAGGGCUCCACCCUGGAACUGCGUUUGAAACAGCUCUUCUUGAGUGAUGG